GGAAUUGUUCGCAAUGGGCGCAAGCCUGACGACGCAACGCCGCGUGGAGGAUGAAGAUCUUCGGGUCGUAAACUCCUUUCGAUCGGGACGAAUCGGUCGCGACCUAACACGUCGCGGCACUGACGGUACCGAGAGAAACAGCCCCGGCUAACUCCGUGCCCGCAGCCGCGGUAAUACGGGGGGGGCAAGCGUUGUUCGGAAUUACUGGGCGUAAAGGGCGCGUAGGCGGCCUGCUUAGUCGGACGUGAAAGCCCUCGGCUCAACCGGGGAACUGCGUCCGAUACUGGCGGGCUCGAAUCCGGGAGAGGGAUGCAGAAUUCCAGGUGUAGCGGUGAAAUGCGUAGAUAUCUGGAGGAAUACCGGUGGCGAAGGCGGCAUCCUGGACCGGCAUUGACGCUGAGGAGCGAAAGCCAGGGGAGCAAAC
rnacentral:rRNA from 1 species